rnacentral:rRNA from 1 species
GUAGAUAUCUGGAAGGACACCAGUUGCGAAGGCGGUCUCCUGGACCAAUACUGACGCUGAUGCUCGAAAGCUGGGGGAGCGAACAGGAUUAGAUACCCUGGUAGUCCCAGCCGUAAACGAUGGACACUAGUUGCCGGAGGAGUCAAUCCCUUCGGUGACGAAGCUAACGCAUUAAGUGUCCCGCCUGGGGAGUACGCUCGCAAGGGUGAAACUCAAAGGAAUUGACGGGGGCCCGCACAAGCGGUGGAGCAUGUGCUUUAAUUCGAUGCAACGCGAAGAACCUUACCUGGGUUUGACAUGGGGGUGAAAGUUUCCAGAGAUGGAAGCCUUUCCUUCGGGAACACCCCACACAGGUGCUGCAUGGUUGUCGUCAGCUCGUGUCGUGAGAUGUUGGGUUAAGUCCCGCAACGAGCGCAACCCCUGCCCUUAGUUGCCAUCAGGUAAAGCUGGGAACUCUAAGGGGACAGCUUGGUAUAACCAGGAGGAAGGUGGGGAUGACGUCAAAUCAUCAUGGCUCUUACGCCCAGGGCUAGACACGUGCUACAAUGGCAGGUACAGUGGGAUGCCAGCCUGCGAAGGUGAGCUAAUCCCUUAAAACCUGUCUCAGUCCGGAUUGGAGUCUGCAACUCGACUCCAUGAAGUUGGAAUCGCUAGUAAUCGCGGAUCAGCAUGCCGCGGUGAUACGUUCCCGGGCCUGUACACACCGCCCGUCAAGCCAUGAAAGGCGGUAGUACCCGAAGUCGCGUACCCAACCGUAAGGAGGGAAGCGCCGAAGGUAAGACUG